rnacentral:lncRNA from 1 species
CCUUUGGAUUUUUACCCCUUUUUUAUCUUUGAAAUUCUAUUAAAUAGACAUCACAUAAAAUUUUUCAUACUUUUUAGUUUUGAUGUAAUAUCUUAAUUUACAAAUUAAUAUAUCCUUUUUUUAAUUCUCUAGCACAGGGCAGAUACUAGUUUUCUAAUAUUCACACAGCUUAGGCUUGUUCCACUCUUCAAGCAGAAAUUAUAUAGAUCCAUGUGAGUAAUGAGAUGAAUAAGUGGACGGCUCGAUGCAAAAUUUCACCGGGUUGC